AUUGAACGCUGGCGGCAUGCCUUACACAUGCAAGUCGAACGGUAACAGGUCUUCGGAUGCUGACGAGUGGCGAACGGGUGAGUAAUACAUCGGAACGUGCCUAGUAGUGGGGGAUAACUACUCGAAAGAGUGGCUAAUACCGCAUGAGAUCUACGGAUGAAAGCAGGGGAUCGCAAGACCUUGUGCUACUAAAGCGGCCGAUGGCAGCUUAGGUAGUUGGUGGGUUAAAAGCUUACCAAGCCGACGAUCUGGAGCUGGUCGGAGAGGACGAUCAGCCACACUGGGACUGGGACACGGCCCAGACUCCUACGGGAGGCAGCAGUGGGGAAUUUUGGACAAUGGGCGCAAGCCUGAUCCUGCAAUGCCGCGUGCAGGAUGAAGGCCUUCGGGUUGUAAACUGCUUUUGUACGGAACGAAAAGCCCUGGGUUAAUACCCUGGGGUCAUGACGGUACCGUAAGAAUAAGCACCGGCUAACUACGUGCCAGCCGCCGCAGUAA
rnacentral:rRNA from 1 species